rnacentral:rRNA from 1 species
UACAGAGGUCUCGAGCGUUAGGCGGAAUCACUGGGCUUAAAGCGUGUGUAGGCGGACUGGUAAGUACCUUGUGAAAUCCCACGGCUCAACCGUGGAACUGCUUGGUAUACUGCUUGUCUUGUGCAACCUAGGGGCGAGCGGAACAGAUGGUGGAGCGGUGAAAUGCGUAGAUAUCAUUUGGAACGCCAAAGGUGAAAACAGGUAGCUGGGGCUGUGCUGACGCUGAGACACGAAGCCAGGGGAGCAAACGGG